ensembl:lncRNA
AUUCCAGUGCCCCGCGGCUGAGGGUGGUGGUCGGGGGAAGCAGCUGAGUGAGGGGAGGCCUGGGGCACAGCCCAGCUCAGCCCAGCUCCCGAGGAAGCCGCUGCGGGGCAGCCCGGAUUCCACACAGCACUGGUGGUCUGAGGAAAUCAGAAGACGGAAGUUUUAAAGUCAAGCUUUCCCUCAGGGGCUCUUUGUCACUGUGGUUUGCUUUUGUAUGGUAUCAUUCUCAUCUGUCAAAGUCUCGCUGCAAUUCUGGAGAUUCUUUUUGUCAGUUUUGUCUUCAAACUUGCUUGAGGAGAGGACUGAAUGGGAGGUUGUGCUCCCUGCAUAGUACCAGAAGACCGAAUUUAAGUCAUCCUGGAGCCUUAUUUUCUGCAAGUGAAACAACACCAGCUCCCUCAGCCUUUCUUCACAGAAGAGGUGCUCAGCCCUCUGAUCAUCUUUGUGGCUCUCCUCUGGACCCUCUCCAACAGCUCCACAUCCUUCUUGUACUGGGGGCCUCCAGGCCUGAAUGCCUUCAGAUGAGACCUCACAAGGACAAGGACAGAGGCAAUCACCUCCAUCACUCUGUGGCCAUCCUUCUUUUGAUGCAGCUCAGGAUACUGUUGGCCAUCCAGGGUGCAAGCAUACAUGCUACUGGCUCACGUCUGGCUUCACAUCGUCCAGAACCCCUAAGUCCUUCUCUGCAGGGCUACUCUCGGUGAGUUCUUUUCCCAGCCUAUAAAUGUAUCUGGGAUUGCCCAAGCCCAAGUGCAACACCACGCACUUGGCUUUACUGAAUCACAUUAGGUUCUCAUGCGCUUACUUUUCAAGCCUGUCCAGGUUCCUCUUGGUGACAUCCCAUCCUUCUAUCAUGUCAACUGCACCACUCAGCUUAGUGUCAUCAGCAAACUUGCUGAGGGUAUACCUGAUCCCUCUAUGUCUUUGAUAAAGAUGUUGAAGAGCACCUAUCCCAAGACUGAACCUUGGGGAACACUACUCACGACCGGCCUCCACCUGGACAUAGAGCCAUUGACCACAACCCUCUGGCUGCAACAUCUGAUGCCUGUAAUAAUAACAAAAUAUAUCAUCAGUUGAUUAUAAUAUGUUUGUCCCUUGGAGUCAGCCAAAAAGGCUUCAUUUUAUUCCUGUGAUCUUUGGCUCAGACUCUGACAUUUGCUAACAUCACACUAACAAGCAUUGCUUGAGUUUUGUGAAAACGAUCUGUAAGCUGUUUAUUUAUACUCUUAACUUACUUUUCUCUUAAAAAGAGGCACAUGCACCCUUAAAUCAGGCCAAGCAUGAGUUUAUCACUGUCAAAAAAGCCUAAAAAAAUUAUCUUUUGUUCAAGCAGCUUCGUAGAAGAAAGGAAUUUUUUUAGCUAUAGUGUUAACAAACUUGGACCUGCUGUUUUUAGUAGGCCUUUGUACAUAUUAUUUCAUUAGUUUGACUAAAGCAAGUUAAAAAUUUCUGACAAUUGGCACUAUCCACUUUAGGCUGCCAUUGCUCUUCUUCAUUAGAAGAAAAUUGACCUGUAGUUGUAGUCCUGGAUGUGUUUUCAGGUACUUCCUCUGCACAGAGGAACAGAUUUAGCGGCAGAUUUCAGCAGUGAUGUAGGCAUCAGCUACUUUCUAUCUUUACUUAUAAACAGGGCUGUCUGUACUAUUUUAUUUAGUGAAAAUACAGUGGUUUUGUCCAUGCACAAACAUGAUGUGCUGAAAAGCAAUUGAAAAUACUCCAAAGCUAUUAACUUUCAGUUUUAUAAUGUAAUUCCUCCGAUGGUCUCUUCUAACAUGUCAGGAAAUGUAUACUGAGAUAGACUUAAUUCUAAUUGAAAGAUACGAAUGAUGCUUGUGUUCAAAUUAAAGUACAUGAGGAAGCUCCCUAAUUAGGAUGUAAGCAUAAGGUUUUUUUUGUCAGGCUCACAGUUUUCUGAUAAGAUUUCCAAAUGUGAUUUUAUUACUGUUAUGAAGUAAGGAAUGAUUAUUCAGGUUAUUGUAAUAACCUAGCGAUGAAUGCUAAAGUUCUUUUUGAAAGGAGUGAACUUAGUUUAUAUUCUGUGCUUUUCCUGUAGUAACUUUCUUUAAAAUAAAUGUUCUGCUCUUCC